AUACUCACCUCAGCAGCACAUAUGCGAAAAUGGGAAUGAUACAAAGAUUAUCAUGGCCCCUGUGCAAGGAUGACACAUAAAUUCAUGAAGCAUUCUAUAUAUUU
ensembl:snRNA U6 U6 spliceosomal RNA